UACGUAGGGGGCAAGCGUUGUCCGGAAUCAUUGGGCGUAAAGCGCGUGUAGGCGGUUACGUAAGUCUGCUGUGAAAGUCGGAGGCUCAACCUUCGAAAGCCGGUGGAUACUGCGUGACUAGAGUACGGAAGAGGAGAGUGGAAUUCCUGGUGUAGCGGUGAAAUGCGCAGAUAUCAGGAGGAACACCAACGGCGAAGGCAGCUCUCUGGGACGUUACUGACGCUGAGGAGCGAAAGUGUGGGGAGCGAACAGG
rnacentral:rRNA from 1 species